rnacentral:rRNA from 1 species
UCGCUCCUACCGAUUGGGUGUGCUGGUGAAGUGUUCGGAUUGGCAGAAGCGGGUGGCAACACCUGCUACUGCCGAGAAGUUCAUUAAACCCUCCCACCUAGAGGAAGGAG